UAGGGAAUAUUGGACAAUGGGGGCAACCCUGAUCCAGCCAUGCCGCGUGAGUGAAGAAGGCCCUCGGGUUGUAAAGCUCUUUUGUCCGGAAAGAAAAGUUUCGGGUUAAUACCCCGGGGUUCUGACGGUACCGGAAGAAUAAGCACCGGCUAACUUCGUGCCAGCAGCCGCGGUAAUACGAAGGGUGCAAGCGUUACUCGGAAUUACUGGGCGUAAAGCGUGCGUAGGUGGUUGUUUAAGUCUGAUGUGAAAGCCCUGGGCUCAACCUGGGAAUGGCAUUGGAAACUGGGCAGCUAGAGUGCGGUAGAGGGUAGUGGAAUUCCCGGUGUAGCAGUGAAAUGCGUAGAGAUCGGGAGGAACAUCUGUGGCGAAGGCGACUGCCUGGACCAGCACUGACACUGAGGCACGAAAGCGUGGGGAGCAAACA
rnacentral:rRNA from 1 species